CCUCCUCGCAGCGCCGCCGCCACGCCCUCCCAGAUCUCAGAUCCCAUCUCCUCUCCUCAGCAUCCUCCUCCCCACCACAUCCUUAUCGCCGCGCCCCGCGCCUGAGCGCCUCCCGUCAGCCGCCGCGCCCGUUUCCCCAGACCCCGUCGACGCCGCCGACCACCUUCCGCGGCUUCCCCCGUCGAGCCGCGUCUCCUUCUGCUGGCUGGAUCUCGUCCGGAUGAUGUGCGCCGUCCGCCGGUUUUGUCGGGGAGCCCGGCGGCUCUCUGGUGUUCAAGCAGGAACCUCAUGCUACCGGCAGCAUGCGGCGCUUGCUUGAACAUCCCAGAGCCACCGGCGUGCCAAAAUUCACGCAGGAGACCAGUCGAGGAGAGAUCCGCCAAGCUGGAGUACCUGAACGUCUUCUUCAAGUACUCCACUUUUUUUUUCUUGCGGAGAAAAAGGUGGAAUACUUGAAGAAGAUUUUCAGGUCGUCCAUUAGAAAUCUCACCAUAUUAACCCAAAACCGUGCUGCAUCCCGCAGAGUUCAUUCAAGUUCAAGGCAGGCAUGCGCUUUUGGGCAGAUCAUAGUUUGUUAACGGUGAUGUGCUCUAGGUCUAGGUUUGUUGAUUUAUCUGCCCUGAUAAUUUUAAUCCUUAAUCCUGAUAGUUAUUCAGUAGGGAUGAUAGCUUGGCAAAACUAUGGAUAAUAUCUAACAUUUUUGUGUUUUCAAGUACGGUUACUCGUGUGUAGAGAAGUUCAGCACAACCAUGCUCCUAAAGCUGGUUAAGAAUUAUGCAUUAAAAUAGGUAUGUAAAAAUGAAAAUAUGAUUCCAAUUGGAAUGCUAGGUUUGAAGAUUUCAUAUGGAGGUUGGUAGCAUAACUCCUUAAGUAUCAAGUGUCAUUCAUUUGAAGCUGUUUUUGCCAUGGUAAUAUUAUCUCAAUCACACUGACAACUGGACUUCUUGUUAUCCUUGCCUCUUUGAGAUCUGCCUCUCGUGAAUGACAACUAUGCUUUUAUUACACAACGUAGCGUACAGUUUUCAUGUUCUUCUUUUGCAGAACACUAUUGUGCAGUUGGGUAGUUGUGCUUAUGCCAGUACUGUGUUCUAGAUUCUCCCUUACUGAUAGGUUUGUUCUCUUUUUUUUUUGAUAUCCGUUUCUCAAUUUUUACAUCUUUUCUGUUUGCAUCAUCAGCUAGUUAGGGAGUUUUGAGUGUUGAUGACAUUUAUGUGGACUAGAGUUUCUGAUACUGCCUCUUCAGCAGUACUUUUGAAGACAAACCCUUGGCUGUCUGAGCUCCCCCCUCCCUCUAACUGGUGCAUUUAUAUCUUUGGAUUAGUUCACGUUUUCAUUUGUUCAUUGCCAAUUUCUCAGGAUGAUUUACCAACUCCUUGAGAUGAUUUGUUUUUCUUAUGGUAUGAUUGCUUGGACUUUAGGUUGUUGUGUUGUGACUGCUUGGGUGUUUUUCAUUGGGCGUGUUGCCAUGUCUCUGGUAGCUACAGCUUUGACCAGAGAUGCUACUUUGUGCCAACAGAGAGAUCUUGGAUGUUUCACGUUUGAUAGUUACCUGUGGACGUGAUUUAGUCGGAACACAGAGCUGUUUUGUUUCAUUAAAAAAACCCUAUUUCUAAGCUUAUUUUAAAUUGGAGUAAAUCAAUGGUGAUGAUGAUAAAACAUAGGCUUGUUUCUCAAAACAUUCGCAGUUGCCGCCUAAGAGCUUUCGCCCUGCCAGGCUUGAGAGCUAAUGCUGCUAAUUCCUUCCUUGGAUGUCUGAGCCAUGUUGAUUUUACUCAUUUGAAUCUUUUUUUUCUCUGCUUUAUCUUCUUGAUUUAACAGGAUAUUUUGUUGUUAUACUUGCUUUUCCUACUUAACAAUAAUAUAUUUUUGCUGUACUUCUUUUAAUUGGGUGAAAUCAGUGGCGAUGAUGAUAAAACUUUGGCAUGUUUCUCAAAACAUUCGCAGUUGCCGCCUAAGAGCUUUCGCCCUGCCAGGCUUGAGAGCUAAUGCUGCUAAUUCCUUCCUUGGAUGUCUGAGCCAUGUUGAUUUUACUCAUCUGAAUCUUUUUUUCUCUCUGCUUUAUCUUCUUGAUUUAACAGGAUAUUUUGUUGUUAUACUUGCUUUGCAUACUUAACAAUAAUAUACUUUUUCUUUACUUCUUUUAAUUGGGUGAAAUCAGUGGCGAUGAUGAUAAAACUUUGGCUUGUUUCUCAAAACAUUCGCAGUUGCCGCCUAAGAGCUUUCGCCCUGCCAGGCUUGAGAGCUAAUGCUGCUAAUUCCUUCCUUGGAUGUCUGAGCCAUGUUGAUAUUACCCAUUUGAAUCUUUUUUUCUCUCUGCUUUAUCUUCUUGAUUUAACAGGAUAUUUUGUUGUUAUACUUGCUUUGCAUACUUAACAAUAAUAUGUUUUUGCUGUACUUCUUUUAAUUGGGUGAAAUCAGUGGCGAUGACUCCUUCCUUGGAUGUCUGAGCCAUGUUAAUUUACCUUAUUUAAUGUUCUUUUUUGGUGUCUGACUUAAUGAUGUUGGUUUUAAUCUGAUAUAUUUGUACCAGGCCUGUUUGGAAUGUAGGAUUCUGAAACGUAGAAACUUAUGAUAAAACUAAAUCUUGUUUCUCAAAACGUUCGCAGCUGCUCCCUAAGUCAUGGGUGUUAACAUGGUUUGUGUUGCAUCCUUUAGUAUCUUCACUGAAGAGAAACAUUAAUUCGGUUGGUUUUUCGCUGGGAUGGUGAAGAUUGAUAUUUGGUCUCCGUUGUAAUUGGCAUUUUUUUGCCUUGCCGACCAUACUGCUAUAUCACCACCCAUAUUCUGAGUCCUCCAGAUGCAUGUUUUCCUUUCUUGGUUUUGAUUCAUAUCUAUUUUGUUUGAUGUUUUUCUGAUGAUUAUAGAAAUAGAAUUGUCUCAUUUCAUAUCUGUGUUUAAGACCAAUGAUCUAUAUUUUAUGCUGUUUUUAAAUUGUUCUUACCUAUGAUGAGUUGCGAACUGUAUUGCCUACAUUGUUUGAACAAUCUGUGAGAACGUAUGCAACGUCUGAGGAUGAACAAGAAAAAGAAAAAAAAUGUUCCAAAUGGAUUAUGAUUGCUAUUUGGACGGUCUUUUGCUCUUAGCUGACGGCAAUUACAACAACUACUUUUAUACUACUCAGUUAGUUUCUCCAAAAUUAUUGAUUCAAUGGAUAUAUGGGCCCCACAAAUUUGCCAUUGUAGUGGUAUUCUUGCUUAACCUUCUCCCGGUUCAUGUGAUGCCAUGUCUCUUUGACUUUGAACCAAUGGCUGAUCUGCAUACCAAACUUUCUGAAUUUGAUUCUGGGAUGCAUGUAUUUCUUCCACUUCUGGUCUAAAUCUUGUAAGAUCCGUAAUUUUCCUUUUGUGUUUGUUUUACAAUGGCGUUUUACCAAGUGUGGAACAUUCAAACAUGUGUGUAAGAAAAAUGAUCACAAUUUUUUGAUUAUCUUUGCUAUUAUUUUGGGUUUUACUGUUCAUCUGGGAGGAGAAACAUCGUGCCACUCAAGUAUACUUUUUCAUGAAAUGUUUUCUGCCGGACAACCGUACGUUGUUGUAUCGACACAGAUAUUUCUCUUUCGAACGACACAAUUAUGAGUACCUUUUCUUCUCAAAAGGAGCCGGUUUUGCAUCGUCCACUUCUCCAUUUGAUUGGCCCAACCACACUGUUUUCUCUUUAUAAUCAUCUUCCUCCUGCAUGCUGGAACCAACCGACGAAGAGCUGAAUUCUAAGUAGUUGUGCUACAAUUCUGAUGGCGGCACCGGCGCACCGUGAGAGUCGGCAAGCUGUCAGUUGGGCGGAGCACGUGAUAGUGCUACUAUUGCAACAUCAAUGUGGAUGGGGGCGCCGCUCUUUUAACUUGUUCUCCCGUGCGUGGUUGACGAAGGAGAAGGUCCUGUUGAUGCUAUUGUCCAAUCUGCAUGCUGUGAUCCAGAUUGAGCUGCUUGGCUUUGGUUUGCUGGGAUCUCACCGCUGAAAGUUCUUAUCAAUGACUAAGCUGAGAGCAUGUGGAUAGAUUUGCUGAGGAUCAUGCCCCUAAGAUUAUUUCAGCGGAGUUUCUGCAACAUAUUCAGUGGGCGUUGGAUAGACUUAUGUGUGCGUAUAGUUCGAACGGCUCUGGCCGAUCGGCCAAAAGAUUGGGAUGGUCAUAGCUCGUUUCCAAAAUUCAUUUUUUUACAGCGUGGAAACAUUCAAAAUGUACUCAUUAAUAGUAUGUUUCAUUUGUUUUUCUAAAUGGAUACAUAAAUUUUGCUAGGAUAUUUUUUCUACAGCCAAAUUGAAAACAACUUUUUUCCACAUUCGUGGUUUCCAUGGAUUUUUGUACUAUAGAAGCAUCUUUGUCUAUGGAUGUGGAUGAAUAUGAAUUUUUAGAACAGGGAGAUUUGCUAGGUGCAAAGCUGAUUUCCAAAGGUGUUAUCUUUGUUAGGAUUAAUUAAUGAUUGUUAAUUAUGGAAUAAUCCCUGCUUUCACUAACCGCAGGCAGUUGCAUCUGCCGCGUCGGUUCCCUGCCGAAUAGGCACCUCUUAAACAGACGCCUCUUCCCUUUGUAUAAAAAAUAGCAGAUCUUAUCUAAUAAAGGAUACAUAGUUUUCAUUA